rnacentral:lncRNA from 1 species
GAGCAUGAGCCAGGGUGGCCCAGGGGCUCACAGGAAUUCCCCUUCUGCCCUGAGCCCACCAGAGCUGGCUAUACAAUGAUAACUUCACCCCCCCUCGCCCCCCAUGGGCAGCACCUGCUCCCUGGGUCUCCCCUGGUGGCCCUAUUAUCCCGCACCUGCUGCUUCCCCACCUGCUCCCUAUUCUUAGCCCCCUCCCCAUAGCACACCCUGUUCAUCACUAGGCCCAGCUGCCUGCUCUGACAGCCAGCCAGGAAGGGCUAAUAGAACCAGGAGAGGUAGCAUGGAGGGCCCAAGGACAGAGGGUCCAGAGGCCAGUCCACCUCUGUUUGACUAGUAGUGUGUAUGCUUACAAUGGACUCCAUCUCAGGGCCUCAGUCUCCCCACCUGUGAAGUAGGAACAGCAAGCCCUGACCUCAACUUUCUACAAAAACUUUACUGCUUGGAAGAUCUUAGGCCAUCGUAUUCCAAGAUCUGAGUUAUAGAGGACAGCCAGGAAAGAAGUGGACCAUGAGGACAAAGAGCGGGACAAGGGAGGGUGAUGCAACCUUCACCUACAUGAAGAUGCUAAUGGUUCAUAUUUUAUAUGCUGAAGAAAAAAAAUCAAAAGAACUAAAACAAUCCCCAUAGUUAAAACAGAACAAAGCAGAAAAAAGGAAUCACUUCUGGGU